rnacentral:ncRNA from 1 species
GGCGGUCUUCGGUAGUGGCUGCCGGAACCCCAUUGGCGGGUCCAUCCGGCCGCUUCGAUCGACGGCCGUA